rnacentral:lncRNA from 1 species
CCAAAGGAAAUGUCAUAUUGCAAAGUGGCUGUUAGAUAACUGUAAACAUCAUUAAGCAUAAGCAAAGAGGUGUGUGUGGGAGCCAGAAAAAACGAGGAUCGUCUGGACUUCACUCGGUGCAGCACGUGCUGUUCUACACAAGCAAGAAUGGCAAUAUUCAUACAAAUUACGUUUCGUUAACAACAGAUUCAUGUACCAAAAGCAACAAUGCUCGGAGCUGAGGCUGAGCUGCUCUCUGUGCAGCCUCCCCCUGCAGCAUUGACGCCGUAUCACCCUGCGCCGGUCAGAUGGGUUAAAAUGCUUUGAAGGACCUCAGCUUCGACCAUCUCGGGUUUGUUUUUUAGACAGUUAUAGUUUGUGUUUAAAAAAAAAGAUAGUUAUCCACAGCCAAAACAUCCAGAUACCAGCCCCAUCGUGGACAAAUGAUCUGCAGAACUUUUUAAGAUCACAGUUAAGCACCUGAAAUCACAAAACACAUUUGCAUCCAUACAACUUGACCUACAGUAUGUUUUUGAAAUUUCGUACUAGAAAAGGCUCCUAGGCUGACACCGUGUAUGGCAAGAGCAGAAUGUUUACAGCAGUUAUAAACCUCCUGAAAACCGGAGCUUAGAAACACGAAACCUCAGCUAUCACUGUAACAAGACUACGCUUAGGAAACUGUGUUCUGUAACAUACCCUUUAACGAACAGUGAAUGUUUCUAGUAGAUAGAAUAAUAUGCCCUCUUGUAGAGGUUUUAGCUAUUGAAUCUAGUCUGAAAGAUGAUAAACCAAUUCUAUUCAUCUGAAAGUAAGUCACAUUUCAAAUGCAGUAACAACGUGGGAUUGAUCCUCCCCCUUUUAUGGACAAUUGCUAAGCUCUGAAAGACAUGCUUCAAGCCUUGAGCUGCUUCUUCACUUCUUGCUGGCAGACAGAGACCAGUGCACUACGAGAGUGGUUCUUAACAAGGACUUCAGUUGUGUCUCAAGACAGGCAAUGAGCUCGCAAACUGGCUGCUGAGAUCAGCUGCAAAGGAAGAAAGCCAUCCUGCCAGCAGGAAACCACACGUGUGAAGCUGGGAGCUCGGGGAUAAUGACAACAUCGGCAGCUGGCACUGCGGGCACGUCAGUCUGUAUACUCAGCUACGAUAGAAAGAAGGACGGUGAUGUCAUCUGGUUUCCCCCCUGUAA